UAAUCAAGCGAGUACACCAAUAUUUAAGCUUAUAAAAGUAAUCCUAAAAACAAAUAUUUAAUUAUUUUUUAACAAAAUCCUAAUGGGCUGAUCUGUUUACUUUAUUUUUCAGUAAAUUUCUAAUUCAUUCAACUCAAAUAUCCACUGCUGCGGGUAGUCACCUUGAUUCUCCGGGCACAGUGCAGUGGCUUAAGAAGCAUCCUAAGGAUCUGGUUCUGUCAGUCUGAAUGUUUUUGGCCGUAACAAAAUCCAGGGUGUGUCUGACUCAUAUUAAGCGGCAUCCUGGUCUGCUUCUGACUCCAGAGGUGCGGCAGUGUAUUUUUUUCACACCUGUGGUAGAGGUAUAAACUACCAAACCAACCCCCACCCCCCACAUAAAAUGUCAGAACAUAAAGACGGUCCUUGGUCGAGGGUACUGAAAUCUCCAAGGGUAACGUGAGCACUCAGGUGGAAGCCUCUUUUAAAUCUUUAUGAGACUAAUGAGGAGGACGUGCGCAUGGUGUCCUCUGAGCCGCAAAACGCGGAGGCACAGGCUUUCUCAAAAACUAGGCUUUCUCAAAAACUGCAUUCGUGGAUUUGGCGAACCGUGGCAAAACGCGAAUGUUGAAAUCAUCCCACUGGACCAAGUACCUUUUCGUACGACGGUGAGAGUGUGGGUUCCUCCUCCCAUUCUGGAGGACAAAUCCAAACUAUUACUAAUUAAGCGUCAGAAUAAGGAACUUGGUUUUGACGACUGGAAGCAGCAACGGACGACUUGCUGCGCUUUAUGGAGAAGGAAGUUGUCCGUGUGGCCUACGUGGACUACAUGGUACACUAGACUUGGACGACUCAGUAGAUUAUCUAUCCAGGACUUUAAGGGAAGCCUUAAAGUCCUGGAUACCUAGGGUAUUCCCGCACCUAGGAAAUUCCCGCCUACCUAGGAAAUUCCCGCAACCAUGAUGGAAUCCUAAACUGAUGCAGCUAAGGAAAGAAUGUAGGAAACUAUUUAAUAAAGCGAAGAGGGAUCAGAACCCCUUAAGCUGGGACGAUUAUUGUCAAAGCUUUAAUACUUUCAAGACGGAAACCAGAAGGGCUAAGAAGGAAUCCUGAAGCGUUUCUGUGAGGAGAUGAAAAGUACCACGGAUGCAUCACGUCUACGAAAGGUGCUAUCCAAAGAACCCGGUACGCCUGGAUUGCUGAUAAAUCCGGAUGGUAACUUUACUGAAAGUAACAUAGAAACACACUUUCCGGGUUGCAGAGAUGAUGCAAAUGAAGGCUCCACUUUGGAGCACCUCACAGCUUCUCGAAUCCACAUAAGUGAAUUAAUCAUUUCCAUUGUUAGUAUGGAGAAAAUUUCGUGGGCGGUGUCAUCCUUCAAGCCUUAUAAAUCCCCAGUGCCAGAUGGUAUAUUCCCAGCACUACUCCAAAAAUCGACCACCAUGCUAUGGCUUAUUAUGAUAUUUAGGAGCAGCCUGGAAACAGAAUAUUUUCCUAAAGUAUGGAGAGAGGUUACAGUGGUAUUUAUUCCCAAAGCGGGAAAAGUAAACCAUAAUACCACCAAAAACUAUGGGCCAAUCAGUCUGUCAUCGUUUUUAUUGCAAACAUUGGAAAGGUUGGUCAACAACCAGGAGGUACAAAAUUCCAAAAUUCAGACCUCCGCGUUUGGAUGGUACCAUUUUGAACACCUCAAGCGAUGCCAAAUAUCUUGGCGUAAUCCUAGACUCUAAAUUCAAGUGAUAACGUAAUGCUGAGAGUCGAAUGAAGAAGGCAUUAUGUGCCUUCUAUAUAUGUCAGAAAACCUUUGGGAAAAGAUAGGGUCUUAAUCCAUAUAUUGUUCACUGGAUGUACACCGCGGUCAUAAGACCUAUUUUGACCUAUGGAGAGCGGUGGAUACCAAGACUCACUUCUCUAUUCUAAACAAGGUACAAAGAUUAGCAGCCUCAGGCUAGUCUAAAGACGAUGCUAAACAUAACUCCCCUUGAUUUAUAUCUCAAAUGCAUUUCUGCUAAAUCUGUGCCUCGUUUGUGAGAAAUUCUCACAACAAAAAUUAUGGAACAAAAAAUCCCAUCGUUUCUCGAAAUGUGAAGAAAAACUGUUUCUGUAUUAAAAUUCGAAAACAAGCAAUAGUGCUUACGUUUUCAUUGGAAUAUUCCAUGACAUUUAAUUAGUUUUAAAUAUGUUACCAAGAAAAUUUCAAAACAUAAAAAUACGUAAUAAUUAUUUAAAUAAAAAGUAUUAACAAUAAAUACGAUGUUUAAUGUAGCAAUUGUAGAAGCUGAUCAAUAUGAUCGACGAAAUAUGAUGCGUGUGCACCGCAGAAAAUUGAGAGAUUCAACUAAUCCCUUCGAAAUUCCAGAGGCACGCUUCAUCGAGUUAUAUCGUUUAAAUAAGGCAGCUGCAAAAGUUCUUUUAAACGACAUUAGCCCUUUUAUGAAAAAGGGUGUUAAAACUACAUUCAUUCCACAACAUAUUCGUAUGUGUACUGCCCUUCAUUUUUUUGCUACCGGUUUUUUUUAUCGAGAUAUAGGACAAGACUUUGCAGCCUCAAUUAGCAAGACAAUGGUAUGCCGAUGUAUUCACGAAGUUCCUGAUAUUUUGAAAAAAAAAAAAAUAUGCCAAAGUGGAUUAAAUUUCCUACGUCUCAAGAAUAUGAAUCCAUAAAACAAAAAUACAACAAAUUAACCAUAAAAGUGGAUGUAGUAUUUAUGUAUAUAUGUAUGUAUAAUUAUUUAGGUUUUAUGAAGAAACUAGAUUUCCGGGUGUAAUAGGUGCUGUUGAUUGCACUCAUGUGCAAAUAAAGAGACCCAAGUCGGACGUUGAGAGCUGUUAUCUGAAGAGAAAGGGAUAUCACUCACAAAAUGUUCAAUUGAUAUAUUAAAAAUUCUUGGAGGUUUUGCUAGGUUUGGUGGAUCAGCCCAUGACGCAUACAUUUGGGAAGCAUCACAAAUUAAUGCUCUGAUGCAACACAGAUUUGAAACAAUUAGAAGUGAUCAUACGUGGUUGUUAGGUGAUUUAGGCUACCCCUUACGUUCUUGGAUUAUAACGCCAUAUCGUUCAUCAGCAACGGAAGAUGAAAAACGAUUUAACUUUGUUCAUGCAAAAGCAAGAAAUUGUAUAGAACGUCUAAAUGGAGUCCUCAAAUCAGUAUUUAGGUGUUUGCAUGUCGGGCUUCAAACCACACCACAAAUGGCUGGGAAGAUAAUAAAUGCAUGUACAGUUUUACACAAUUUCAGGAAGGAGCAUGGUUUAUUAACAGAAAAUAUAACCAUUGAAGAAGAGGAAGAAGAUAAUAUUUUUUCAAAUGGUGAAGAAGUUAAAGAACCACUUCGCUUAGCUUCACGUCUGCGAGAUAGUCUUAAGGAGAGGAUUUGCCGCCAGUAAAAAGUUAAAUAUUUUACAAAUUUGAAUAAAUUACAGUAUAAAUUUUUGCAAUUUGUUAUUCUAUUUAAAAAAAUUAUGAAGAUCUCCAUAACAUAAUUUAACUGGAUAUUUAUUUGAAUUUAAAUAA
rnacentral:lncRNA from 1 species